rnacentral:pre_miRNA from 14 species
UCUCUGGAGAUGAGGGUGACCACCUAUCCUGGACGAGCCCCCAAAUUAAAGAUCCCUGGAGCGGGGAGACCCACACUCAAGUCUCGGGAUGACACGACCCCCCCAAGAACUCAUGUGAGACC